rnacentral:rRNA from 1 species
UACGAAGGGGGCUAGCGUUGUUCGGAAUCACUGGGCGUAAAGGGCGCGUAGGCGGCUUUAUAAGUCGGGGGUGAAAGCCUGUGGCUCAACCACAGAAUUGCCUUCGAUACUGUAGGGCUUGAGACCGGAAGAGGUUAGUGGAACUGCGAGUGUAGAGGUGAAAUUCGUAGAUAUUCGCAAGAACACCAGUGGCGAAGGCGGCUAACUGGUCCGGUUCUGACGCUGAGGCGCGAAAGCGUGGGGAGCGAACAGG